UCCACCGGGGCUUCUAAACAUGCUGUUAAUGCAGAACUCCUUGGAAGAUGUAAUUGUAUAAUAUCCUUUAUUGCAGUUAUUAUGCUACUUUGCCUUCCAGCAGGGAUUUCUGCUGUAUCAGAUCCACAGAAGUGUAAUUCUGAUACCUAAUGUGAAAAGGAAAUGUGAUGGCAGGUAUCAAUAAGAAAUUAAGUUAGUAUUAACUUUUACUAAAAUUUUGCUGAGGGAACCAUUUUUUUAGGUCUUAUGAUUAAAGAUUUGCAUUUUUGCAGUUGGUGCAAUCACAGGUUUUAUUGUUAUUUUGUUUUUCUAGAAGUACCUAUUGGAGCAGACUUUAGCUGGAUUCUUAUGCCUUCUCCUCCAGACAUACACACUUUCUUCAUUUUGAAAUACCUGGAUUGUCAUGUGUUAUUUUCUUUUAGUGUUACAGAAAAGAUGGAAGCACAAGCCACAAUCCUUGGUGAUUUGGAAAAAUUCAGUAAGACAAAUGAUUGUCAGGAUAGUUCACCCGCCUUUGUUGCCUUUUUCUAGUUCAGUUUUUUUUUUAAUUUGCAGAAAAGAAGAAGAAAUUUAUUUUCUGUAAGCCUAAAUCCUGUGGUGUCAGAUGCCAGGGGGAUGAAAACUGCUAUGCCCAACAUGAAAAAAGCACUGCACUCUUAAGUAUAGAGAAUGUAACAUUGCAAGUGGAGAUGAUGCCUUCUGAUACCUGACAACUCUCUGGUCUUGAACCUCUGUCCCCUUUCUGUAUUAUGAAUUAUACAGGAUGGGACAAAAUUCUUAGUUCUCAGCCAGAGACGAUGUUGUGGCGUUUGGCUUCUCUAGAUCUGCUAGAAGCUAAUGUGAGGAGACACCAUGUAUGAUGCCUAAAUAAGAAUAAUAGAACUUCGGCAGCCACCUGCUCCUUCUGUAGGCUCUGCUGGUGUGUGCCCAUGCUUAUCACCAAGUUUCUUCCCUCUCAGUCACUCAUCUUCUUAGAUCUCACUCCUGAAUGUGGACGACUUUACUCUCUGCUUCAGUCAGUGUCUGUACCACUGCUGCCACCCCUUGGCCAGUGUAAUAGCCAUCCUUCUUCACAAAAUCCCCAGAUUUCUAGAAACCCCUCCUCCAUCCCUUAAAGAACACGAUGUUUUUCUCUCAACCUUGCCACACCUAUAACAGCUAGAUGUGAGAGCCUCAAACUUCACAACAACCAGUCAGCCCUGCUUCCUACCACAAAGUCCCAUAGGUAUGUGGGUGGGAUUCUGAAUGCAAAGCUGAUGACAAUUUUUCAUUGUGAGCAGCCUUUCUUAUGAAGUACUGGCCUUAGAAAGGACCUUGGCGAUCACCAAAACUCUUUACCUCUGCCACCUAGUAGCUCAUGGACAAGAUCAGCAUUCCAUUUUAUUCACCCUGGCUUUCUUCUUCCAUAAAAACUGAAAUUAAUAUUGCCAUUUGCACAGCGUUCCUGUUCCUAUGAAGACUGGAUGAGGAUAUGUUUCUGAGGUGCCUUUCACACUGCCAGCCAUUGAAAUGCACAUGUAUGGAUGACUGGGGCUCAAGCAGGCAUCUUAGACCAUGAGGCAACACAUCAGAGGGGGCAAAGCAGCAAGACGUGUCUGCAGUCAGCACAAGAGCCCUAGGUCUUCUACCUCCAGGAUUCUUUAACAACAGAGGAAAUCAGACUCCUAUCUAGGUAAAGAUGUUGUUAUUUGUUGUUUUUAUUUAGACAGCUAAUUUAAACGAAUCUAACACCCCAAACUGAAGACUUGAUUUCCAUCC